rnacentral:rRNA from 1 species
UACGGGGGGGGCAAGCGUUGUUCGGAAUUACUGGGCGUAAAGGGCGCGUAGGCGGCCUUCUAAGUCGGACGUGAAAUCCCUCGGCUUAACCGAGGAACUGCGUCCGAUACUGAAAGGCUUGAAUCCGGGAGAGGGAUGUGGAAUUCCAGGUGUAGCGGUGAAAUGCGUAGAUAUCAGGAGGAACACCGAUGGCGAAGGCAGCUCGCUGGGACGGUACUGACGCUGAGACGCGAAAGCGUGGGGAGCAAACAGG